UACAGAGGGGGCUAGCGUUAUUCGGAAUUAUUGGGCGUAAAGGGCGCGUAGGCGGCCAUGCGUGUCUUCCGUGAAAUCCCUCGGCUUAACUGAGGACGUGCGGAAGAAACUGCAAGGCUCGAGUCCGGGAGAGGGGGGUGGAAUUCCCAGUGUAGCGGUGAAAUGCGUAGAUAUCGGGAGGAACACCAGUGGCGAAGGCGGCGAUCUGGGAAGAUACUGACGCUGAGACGCGAAAGCGUGGGGAGCGAACAGG
rnacentral:rRNA from 1 species